rnacentral:rRNA from 1 species
GCACAAGCGGUGGAGCAUGUGGUUUAAUUCGAAGCAACGCGAAGAACCUUACCAGGUCUUGACAUCCUCUGACACUCCUAGAGAUAGGACGUUCCCCUUCGGGGGACAGAGUGACAGGUGGUGCAUGGUUGUCGUCAGCUCGUGUCGUGAGAUGUUGGGUUAAGUCCCGCAACGAGCGCAACCCUUGAUCUUAGUUGCCAGCAUUCAGUUGGGCACUCUAAGGUGACUGCCGGUGACAAACCGGAGGAAGGUGGGGAUGACGUCAAAUCAUCAUGCCCCUUAUGACCUGGGCUACACACGUGCUACAAUGGAUGGUACAAAGGGCUGCAAAACCGCGAGGUCGAGCCAAUCCCAUAAAACCAUUCUCAGUUCGGAUUGUAGGCUGCAACUCGCCUACAUGAAGCUGGAAUCGCUAGUAAUCGUGGAUCAGCAUGCCACGGUGAAUACGUUCCCGGGC